CAAUGGGCGCAAGCCUGAUGCAGCCAUGCCGCGUGUAUGAAGAAGGCCUUCGGGUUGUAAAGUACUUUCAGCAGUGAGGAAGGCGGAGUCGUUAAUAGCGGCCUCGUUUGACGUUAGCUGCAGAAGAAGCACCGGCUAACUCCGUGCCAGCAGCCGCGGUAAUACGGAGGGUGCGAGCGUUAAUCGGAAUUACUGGGCGUAAAGCGCAUGCAGGUGGUUUGUUUAAGUCAGAUGUGAAAGCCCGGGGCUCAACCUCGGAAUUGCAUUUGAAACUGGCAGACUAGAGUACUGUAGAGGGGGUAGAAUUUCAGGUGUAGCGGUGAAAUGCGUAGAGAUCUGAAGGAAUACCGGUGGCGAAGGCGGCCCCCUGGACAGAUACUGACACUCAGAUGCGAAAGCGUGGGGAGCAAACAGGAUUAGAUACCCUGGUAG
rnacentral:rRNA from 1 species